rnacentral:rRNA from 1 species
AUUGAACGCUGGCGGCAGGCUUAACACAUGCAAGUCGAACGAGUGGCGGACGGGUGAGUAAUGUAUGGGGAUCUGCCUGAUGGAGGGGGAUAACUACUGGAAACGGUAGCUAAUACCGCAUACCAUCAGAUGAACCCAUAUGGGAUUAGCUUGUAGGUGAGGUAACGGCUCACCUAGGCGACGAUCCCUAGCUGGUCUGAGAGGAUGAUCAGCCACACUGGGACUGAGACACGGCCCAGACUCCUACGGGAGGCAGCAGUGGGGAAUAUUGCGCAAUGGGGGCAACCCUGACGCAGCCAUGCCGCGUGAAUGAAGAAGGCCUUCGGGUUGUAAAGUUCUUUCGGUAGCGAGGCGUUAACUACAGAAGAAGCACCGGCUAACUCCGUGCCAGCAGCCGCGGUAAUUC